AUACAGACUACUUGGUGCCGGGAAGUGGUGGUGAUCCUUCUGCUCAAACCUUACCAUCGUCGGUGACCUGACCAGAGCAAGUCGGGUAAAGCUGGUGGGCUGAGUGACCUCUGACCUCGUGCUGUAUGCUGACCCCCGUUGCCCUGUGGCUCUUUUCAUCACAUGUGGCCAACACACGCGCCCAACCCACUCCUGCCGACGAUAAAUAAUGAAUUCAAUGAAAAGAUGAAUGUGUGGAAAAGAGUUGAAUAUUUUUUAUGUAGAUGAAUAUUUAUACGUCUAUGCUCACAACUCGGCUUUUACGAUGAUCGUUUUUGCAAGAAACAGCGUUACGAUCUCACUGUCCAAUAUUGCAGGAGUCCUCUAUUGAAUCUUUCCUUUGAUAACUUCGAUUGUCGUUAUUUGGUUCAUUAUUUUAAUUCAUGACACACCAUUUUAUAAAAUUAUUGUCAUUUUUAAAUGCAAAAAUUUGCUUUUUCAUUGAACUGUGUCAAGUUUCCCAUUUUUAAAAGGGGAAACAGAUUGUUUUGCCUUCAAAAUAAUAGUGCCCAACGACCUGACACAUUUAUUCUUUACUCUGUUCUCCUUUUGUAUGACAGAAAAUCAAAAGUGUAUUUCAAAAUUAAACAUAAAACUAUGCCUCAGAAUAAAUUCCGUUUUGAUACUGCA